UACGUAGGUGGCGAGCGUUAUCCGGAAUUAUUGGGCGUAAAGCGCACGCAGGCGGCUUUUUAAGUUUGACGUGAAAACUCCUAGCUUAACUGGGAGAGGACGUUGAAGACUGGGAGGCUUGAGGUAAUGAGAGGGGUGCGGAAUUCCCGGUGUAGUGGUGGAAUGCGUAGAGAUCGGGAGGAACACCAGUGGCGAAAGCGGCACCCUGGCAUUGACCUGACGCUCAGGUGCGAAAGCGUGGGGAGCGAACGGG
rnacentral:rRNA from 1 species